CGGACGGGUGAGUAACGCGUGAGAAUCUGGCUUCAGGUCUGGGACAACCACUGGAAACGGUGGCUAAUACCCCAUAGGCUGAGGAGCAAAAGGAGGAAUCCGCCUGAGGAGGGUCUUGCGUCUGAUUAGCUAGUUGGUGAGGUAAUGGCUCACCAAGGCUACGAUCAGUAGCUGGUCUGAGAGGAUGAUCAGCCACACUGGGACUGAGACACGGCCCAGACUCUUACGGGAGGCAGCAGUGGGGAAUUUUCCGCAAUGGGCGAGAGCCUGACGGAGCAAUACCGCGUGAGGGAGGAAGGCUCUUGGGUCGUAAACCUCUUUUCUCAGGGAAGAACACAAUGACGGUACCUGAGGAAUAAGCAUCGGCUAACUCCGUGCCAGCAGCCGCGGUAAUACGGAGGAUGCAAGCGUUAUCCGGAAUGAUUGGGCGUAAAGCGUCCGCAGGUGGCAAUGUAAGUCUGCUGUUAAAGAGUCUAGCUCAACUAGAUAAGAGCAGUGGAAACUACAUAGCUAGAGUACGUUCGGGGCAGAGGGAAUUCCUGGUGUAGCGGUGAAAUGCGUAGAGAUCAGGUAGAACACCAGUGGCGAAGGCGCUCUGCUAGGCCGUAACUGACACUGAGGGACGAAAGCUAGGGGAGCGAAUGGGAUUAGAUACCCCAGUAGUC
rnacentral:rRNA from 1 species